AAAAAGAAAACAAAAAAUUAAGAACCUUUACCGAUAAUGUUAUCCUAAGAGACUGUCUUUUGAGACACGUGUUGGCCAAGGCUAUCAUCUCUUUCUCUCUCUGGCCUAAUGCUCUUCAUCAUCAAAAGUUCAAAGUCAAUGGGUGUUUGUGUGUGUUUUACAGAGAGAUGGAGGCAGAUCAGUCCUCAUGCAACCACCGUAUUACAGAGUCUCGAUUGAAUAGCCUCUCAUCUGUCUCUCUUCCUUCUCUGUACGCUCCGGCGCGUUUUAGUGAAAGUGGAGAACAGGGCAUGGAAAGUCGAUUCACAUGAGUCAGGUUCCAGUUGCAACAGAGGUGGUGAAGUGGAGUGGAGCAUUGGAGUGGAGCAUUCACGGGUAUUGGAGUGGUGCAUUCACGAGUGACAGAGAGUUGUUGUUUCAUUGUCUUGUGUCAUUGAGUCAUUGAGUUGUAAUUGUGUCAUUGACUUGUAUUUGUGUCACGGGUGUACAAGAGUGAUAGAGAGAGUUGGAGUCUUGUGGUGUUUGUAGUCUUCUGUUAAAGUUCAUGAGUGACAACUUCCAUCCUUCUCUAUAUAUAUGUGCAAUUCACUUGAAAAGCAAUUCACAAACUAAUCUACUCCAUUCUCUACUUCAACUUAUCUUCACAAGCAAUUCACAACAACUUCCAUCCUUCUCUAUAUAUAUUUGCAAUUCAUUUGAAAAGCAAAAUUUUCAAAAUUUUCAAUCUUCCAUUCUUCUUUUCUUCACAAAAUUUUCAAAAUUUCAUAUAUGGUAUCCUCUUCUCAUAACAUUUUUGAGGGAUCGGACGAUGAAAAUUUUGAUCAAUAUUUAUUUUUUAUGUUUUUAUUUUAAAAUCAAUGUUUAAAAUGUUAUCGUGUACUAUGUUUUAAGAAAAAAGUUUAAGUUUUAUAAGAAAAAUCAAAAAAAUAUUGGUGUUUAAUUAAAUUUUUUUUAAGAACCCUUAAAUAGGAGACUUGCAAUGGAGCACGUAAAUUUUCGGGUUUUUUAAUCUAGUCUCUUAAUUAAUUUUUACGAUUAAAAAAUUUUAAAAAUUAGCUCACGCGACCUUGCAUUUGACAGAUGGAUUGGAAUCUCGGCACAUCACGCGAGGAAGAUGCGAAUAUACAUCUAUAUUAUAUAUCGUCUACUGUAUUAUUUUCUACAAGCGCCUAUAAUAAGUAUCUGAAUCAGUUAAUUUCAUGUAAAAGGUGGAUCAUGAACUUUUUAAGUCAAGUAAUCAGUAAACUACAACUCUGUCUAUGAUAUGAAUAAAUAGCAAAUAUGUAAAGCAUUUUGAUUUUUCGAAAGAAAAACCCUACUGCAGCAUAUGUCAUGCAUGGUCAGGCCCGGUGCUUUCAUUUUAUUUGUUACAACAUGUUAUAAACUUAUAAGAACAUCUGCAUCGCUCCUCUCUAAAGGGGAGGUCCACGAUUUUGAAAUAAACCGUAUACAAAGUGUGCACAAU